ensembl:lncRNA
AGCCUGGUGGGCUACAGUGCACGGGGUUGCAGAGUCGGACGCGCCUGAGCGAUGCAGACUAGGCUCACCCGUCGUCCUCAGGGAGCUGCUUCCGCUGCGUUCUGUUGUCUGCAGGAGACUCCGCUCAUCUGAGGGCGAGCUGUCCGGACCCUCUGGACCGGGGAGUUGGUGUUAUUUUGAAGCAGGUCUUGUGGACUGGCAUGGAUCGCGAGGAGCACCGUUACUUUAUGAACCUCUUGGGAAGAAAGAGCGCUGCCUGUGAGCCCAGGAGCCGGUGCCUGCGGCACACAGCCCGAGCUCGCAUUCACGUCUGGGCCUCUCCGACGCAGGUCUGCACAGCGCGUGCUCGUGCAAGUGUAAGAAGAGAGGCGACGGAGACGGACGGGCUCGGAGGCCCUGGGGUGCUUGGGCCAGGAAGGGCGCUCCUGACCACUUCCCACCCUGAGCCUUCAGGCCCCUGUUUUCUGCACAGAUGGUCCCGGGUCCCCGGGAAGGUGGGCAACGCCGUGCUCUGGAGAAGAUUCACCCCCGCUGUGCCCAGCUUCAGCAGCUGGAGGUUUUGAUGCUGGUGCUUCUGGAAAGGUGGCAGACGCUUUCCAGAACCCGUCCGGGACAGCGGUCAGAUGGUGGCUGGAACUCGAGCUCCUUCCUCAGAUGGCCGUCCUGAGCUUUGGCCCCGAUGGCCAGGCUUCGCCACACUGCCUCCCUGAUGGGAUGGGAAGCUCCCUGGUGACCCCAGCUGUCCCGUGUCUCGCCCCACCCCCCUUCCCUGCGCACACACUGACGUGGUUCUGCGUGGACCCCUGCAGGUGGCACAGCCUUGUGAUGAAGGGUGUCCCCACCAACACCACCCUGUGAGCGGCCUCUGACACCCCGGCCACACCCAAGUUCCUGGGGUUCCUCAGAGUCCCUGAGUCACUCGCCCGACUCAGAGACCCCAGAAGGCUUUCUGCUCACUGCUGAUUUUAUCAUAAAGGACGCAGACCAGGACCAGCUGAACGAGGAGACCCCUGGGUGAGCCCUGAGCUGCUAGCCUGGCUCCUCGAGGCUCAGGACAGCCCCCUCCUGGCCCAGCCCUGCAUCCCGCCCGGAAGCCCACCAGAGUGAUUAUCACGUGGCGUGACAGCCAGAUCCGGG